rnacentral:rRNA from 1 species
UGCACGCUGGCGGCGUGCCUAAUACAUGCAAGUCGAGCGAACGGACGAGAAGCUUGCUUCUCUGAUGUUAGCGGCGGACGGGUGAGUAACACGUGGAUAACCUACCUAUAAGACUGGGAUAACUUCGGGAAACCGGAGCUAAUACCGGAUAAUAUUUUGAACCGCAUGGUUCAAAAGUGAAAGACGGUCUUGCUGUCACUUAUAGAUGGAUCCGCGCUGCAUUAGCUAGUUGGUAAGGUAACGGCUUACCAAGGCAACGAUGCAUAGCCGACCUGAGAGGGUGAUCGGCCACACUGGAACUGAGACACGGUCCAGACUCCUACGGGAGGCAGCAGUAGGGAAUCUUCCGCAAUGGGCGAAAGCCUGACGGAGCAACGCCGCGUGAGUGAUGAAGGUCUUCGGAUCGUAAAACUCUGUUAUUAGGGAAGAACAUAUGUGUAAGUAACUGUGCACAUCUUGACGGUACCUAAUCAGAAAGCCACGGCUAACUACGUG